AACGAACGCUGGCGGCAUGCCUAACACAUGCAAGUCGAACGAGACCUUCGGGUCUAGUGGCGCACUGGUGCGUAACGCGUGGGAACCUGCCCUUAGGUUCGGAAUAACUCCCCGAAAGGGGUGCUAAUACCGGAUAAUGUCUUCGGACCAAAGAUUUAUCGCCUUUGGAUGGGCCCGCGUUGGAUUAGCUAGUUGGUAGGGUAAAAGCCUACCAAGGCGACGAUCCAUAGCUGGUCUGAGAGGAUGAUCAGCCACACUGGGACUGAGACACGGCCCAGACUCCUACGGGAGGCAGCAGUGGGGAAUAUUGGACAAUGGGCGAAAGCCUGAUCCAGCAAUGACGCGUGAGUGAUGAAGGCCUUAGGGUUGUAAAGCUAUUUUACCCGGGAUGAUAAUGACAGUACCGGGAGAAUAAGCUCCGGCUAACUCCGUG
rnacentral:rRNA from 1 species